AUUGAACGCUAGCGGGAUGCUUUACACAUGCAAGUCGAACGAGUGGCGGACGGGUGAGUAAUAUAUCGGAACCUGCCUAGUAGCGGGGGAUAACUACUCGAAAGAGUGGCUAAUCCCGCAUACUAUUGGAGCGGCCGAUAUCGGAUUAGCUAGUUGGUGGGGUAAAGGCUCACCAAGGCAACGAUCCGUAGCUGGUCUGAGAGGACGACCAGCCACACUGGAACUGAGACACGGCCCAGACUCCUACGGUAGGCAGCAGUGGGGAAUAUUGGACAAUGGGGGAAACCCUGAUCCAGCCAUCCCGCGUGUAUGAGAAGGCCUUCGGGUUGUAAAGUACUUUUGGCAGGGAAGCGGUAUCUACAGAAUAAGCACCGGCUAACUACGUGCCAGCAGCCGCGGUAAUUC
rnacentral:rRNA from 1 species